CCUACGGGAGGCAGCCGUGAGGAAUAUUGGUCAAUGGGCGAGAGCCUGAACCAGCCAAGUCGCGUGAAGGAUGAAGGAUCUAUGGUUUGUAAACUUCUUUUAUAUUGGAAUAAAGUGAGGAAAGUGUUCAGUUUUGUAUGUACCAUAUGAAUAAGCAUCGGCUAACUCCGUGCCAGCAGCCGCGGUAAUACGGAGGAUGCGAGCGUUAUCCGGAUUUAUUGGGUUUAAAGGGUGCGUAGGUGGUUAGUUAAGUCAGUGGUGAAAGUUUGUGGCUCAACCGUAAAAUUGCAGUUGAUACUGGAUGACUUGAGUAUAGUUGAGGUAGGCGGAAUGCGUGGUGUAGCGGUGAAAUGCAUAGAUAUCACGCAGAAAUCCGAUUGCGAAGGCAGCUUACUAAACUAUAACUGACACUGAAGCACGAAAGCGUGGGGAUCAAACAGGAUUAGAUACCCCUGUAGUC
rnacentral:rRNA from 1 species